rnacentral:rRNA from 1 species
AGCGAACGCUGGCGGCAGGCUUAACACAUGCAAGUCGAGCGGGCAUCCUUGUCGUGUCCGCGGCUGACGGGUGAGUAACGCGUGUGAACGUUCCCUUCGGUUCGGAAUAACUCAGGGAAACUUGAGCUAAUACCGGAUACGUGCGAGAGCAGAAAGGUUUAUCUGCCGAAGGAUCGGCCCGCGUCUGAUUAGCUAGUUGGUGAGGUUAUGGCUCACCAUGGCGACGAUCAGUAGCUGGUCUGAGAGGAUGCUCAGCCACACUGGGAGUGAGACACGGCCCAGACUCCUGCGGGAGGCGGCAGUGGGGAAUAUUGGACAAUGGGGGCAACGCUGAUCCAGCCAUGCCGGGUGAGUGAUGACGGCUUUAGGGUUGUAAAGCUCGUUUCUACGGGACGAUAAUGACGGUACCGGAGGAAUAAGCCCCGGCUAACUUCGUG